GACGAACGCUGGCGGCGUGCUUAACACAUGCAAGUCGAACGGGCCUUGUCCCCUUUUUUUUGGGGGUGGGGUUAGUGGCGAACGGGUGAGUAACACGUGAGUAACCUGCCCCUCACUUCUGGAUAACCGCUUGAAAGGGUGGCUAAUACGGGGUGUUCUGGCCUGCUCGCAUGGGUGGGUUUGGAAAGAUUCGACCGGUUUUGGUUGUUUUGGUGGGGGAUGGGCUCGCGGCCUAUCAGCUUGUUGGUGGGGUGAUGGCCUGCCAAGGCUUUGACGGGUAGCCGGCCUGAGAGGGUGGGCGGUCACACUGGGACUGAGACACGGCCCAGACUCCUGCGGGAGGCAGCAGUGGGGAAUAUUGCACGAUGGGCGCAAGCCUGAUGCAGCGACGCCGCGUGAGGGAUGGAGGCCUUCGGGUUGUGAACCUCUUUCGCCAGUGAAGAAGGUCCUGCUCUUUGUGGUGGGGUUGACGGUAGCUGGGUUAAUGAAGCGCCGGCUAACUACGUG
rnacentral:rRNA from 1 species